UCAGCUACAGAAUGAGAUCUGUGAACACGUGCGCAGUUGCCUGUGCAAGCUGUCUGACGUUGUGUCUGUGCUGGAUCUGCUGCUUUCAUUUGCCCACGCCUGCGCCCUUUCUGAUUGUGAAUUUACCGAUACUUUAGCGAUCAAGCAGGGGUGGCAUCCCAUUCUUGAAAAGACAGCUCUGGCAAAACCUGUGGCUAGCAACACAUCCCUGACAGAGGUCAACGGUCUUGUCAUUGUUACAGGACCAAAGGACUAAAAGCUGCAGAACUGUCCUCCCUACCACCAUGCGUCAUUUUGGAUGCGAAGGAAAUCACAAAUCGGGUUGCAAAACAAAUUUUGGUGUGCGGUAGAAAAUUAUGAUGCUGAAUACACAGUUUUUAUGCAAUUCAAAUGUAUUUUCAGUUUCUGGAAGGAUACAGGAUGAGCACUGCCUAUGUUUUAGUGCAAACAGAUUUCAUUAGACUGUAUUUCUGAAACCGCUUCUGAAAGGUGACGCUGAAGGUCACACUGUUGCCUGACAGCGCGAAAUGGCCCUUAGGGUAAGGGAACGCUGGAUGUAAUGUUGGUAUGCAAACCAAGAAUGCUGAGAUCAAAACCAGGCUGGGAAAUAGCUAACGCUAGUAUUUUUAUAAUAGAACGUGAUUUAGUUCGCAUUUUAAUGCAUGUGUAUUUUUAAGAGCAGCACAGGCGGAAGAGUGGUGGGGUGUUAUAUAGCUAGUAUAAAUAUGAGCUAUAAAUAAUAGGAAAAUGAAAAUAUAAAAAUAUCAAUAUAUUUGUAGAAUACAACAUAUUAACAAAUACAAGUAACACAUUUCUGUGAAAUAUAUACUGUAUAAUAAUGCAAAUAGCAUCAUAUAUAAGGAAUACAUAUAAGAAUGAGAAUAGAAAUACGAAGAUAGAGUUUAAAUGUUUUAUUGGUGUUAUUUGGUUAGAGGCAGGGUUUUUUAUAAGUAAUAUAAUCAAAAAUAUAAAUAUACAAUAAAUAUAUACAGGCUUGUAAAAUUAGUAAUA